GUAGCGGUGAAUUUGGCGGUGCGUUGACAUUGGAGGAGGGACUUGAGAAACUGAAGGAGGCUCUCCAAAUCUUGAAUUCUCCUUCCCCUUCUUCCCCUACUGUCCUAAGACCUUCACUUUGUUUUGCUCCCAACCCCACUCCUCCUCGGUCUUUCCUCUCAUUUAUGUAUCCAAGAACGACGCCGACUCUAAAUCACUCUGUCAAUUUGGAUGAUAAUGUGAGUCACCAGAAAGAAAGGUUCUUUUUGGUUUUCCAUACCUCAGAUUGAGUUAGAUGAGCUGGAAAGUGUUUCCAUUCUGUCAAUGACCCUUGCAUGGGAUGAAUUUUCCUUCUCUACUUUUCAAGAAGCCCAUUAUUCGCUUCAAGAUUCUCUAGACCAGCUGUAGAUCCUCAGUACAAGGAUUUAAGGCAUUUUCAGUGGCAUUGGGAAAAGGGGGAGCCUGUCAUUGUCAGCAAUGUGCUUGAAUGUACAUCUGGUUUAAGCUGGGAACCGCUUGUCAUGUGGCGUGCAUUACGUCAUGUAACUAAUACCAAGCAUGGCCAACAUUUGGCGGAGAAAACAAUUGAUUGCUUAGAUUGGACUGAGGUUUGCUUAAUUUCCCAAUCUUUAACUUUAUUGACCAUGGAGAGCUUUUUACACAAAUUUCAUUCUUCACCUUCAUUCUCAUGAAGAUUAUGUUUAAUUGUUUGAUGUUGGUACUUAUUUUAACUGGAACCACUGCAGUUAUGGCAUUUGGAGAAUUAUUUAAUAUUAGCAAUUUUUAUGUUGUUGAAUUUCCUACAUGUUUCCUGAAUUCAGUAACUCCACCUUUUCUGGAUUGAGACUUGAGAGUUAUUUCAGUGCAUUUAAUAUUGUCAGUUAUUGAAUUCCAUAGAGUCAUCAGAACAGAAUGUCCUUGAAAUAUUUUGUGAAGUACUGAAAAAUUACAAUUUUUUGGUGGAUGGUUCCACUUUAAGAAACAGUUUGUAGAUGUUCUGCUAUCUGGGUCAUAAAGAGAUACCGGCCUAAGGUGGAAUGUUGGUAAACAAAACGCACAUUAGGGUGAUAAUUAGAAAUCAUUUUUCUGAGUGUAGUUUUUAUAUCAGUCUCAAAUUUUAAGCCCUUGUUUCAUGCUUUAUGCUGUCUCUCCAUCAUUCUCAAGAAAUAUGGCUAGUGUGAUCAAUUUAUCCUGCUACCAUCAUCAUCAUAUUCAUCUUCUUAGUCCUAGGUUUUGCUCCUUAUCUUAUCAUCUUAGAAAAUUUUAUCUCAAUGUUUGGCUGUUUCUUGUCCCUGCCCCAUUUUGCUGUUUUUGCUUUGCCUGCCCAGACCUUUCUUGUUGCCCUUGCAUCCUUUGGUAUGUUUGUCUAGUUCUUAGACUUGCAGCAUCUAGCUGAUGUUGGGUAAAAUGUACUUUUUAUUUUUUUUAGUUUGUUGAAAAUGUUAUUUUCGAUUUGUACUCAUUCUGUUUUUCUGUUUAGUAAUCAGACUAGAGUAAAUCAUAUCUGCUUUAUUUUACUGAUUUAGUAAUUCUUUACUGGACUUGUUUAUUCAGUUGCUGCUGAUUUCUGCAUUUCUCUUUUGAGGUAUUGGUUAAAUGCAGGGGGAAAUUAAUAUCCACCAACUUUUUACUGGCUAUACAAAUGGUCGUAGGGAUUGGCUUGCUUGGCCACAGAUAUUGAAAUUAAAAGAUUGGCCUCCUUCUAAUUUAUUUGAGGAACAAUUGCCUCGUCAUUGUGCUGAGUUCAUAUCUUCCUUACCCUUCAAGGAAUAUACUGAUCCUCACAAAGGUUCUCUUAACCUUGCUGUGAAGUUGCCUAAUGGUUCUCUAAAGCCAGACCUGGGGCCAAAAACAUAUAUUGCUUAUGGAUUUCCUCAGGAGCUUGGACGUGGUGAUUCAGUGACUAAGCUCCAUUGUGAUAUGUCUGAUGCAGUAAAUGCGUUGACUCAUAUUGCUGAAGUGAAACUGGAUUCUGAUCAACUUACUGUCAUUGAGAAGUUGAAGCAAAAGCAUCUCGAGCAAGAGAAAAGGGAGCUACUUGGUGAUGAUCAGGAUGGAGAAACUAAUGUUGACAUGCUUAAUAUAAUUCAUCUUCUACAAUAAAUGCUUUGGACAGGCAAACUAGUGUUGAAGUCAUGGAACAAGAAGGUGGAUUAUGUGAUGGGAAAGAAGUUGAUCAGUUUCAUCAACCGUCUGGUAGUAAUGAGGUUGCCAUUGCUAAUGAGGAUGGUAUUUCAUAUGGAUCAGAGCUCAUAGAGGUUGACAAAGUAAAAGUAAAUCAAGGUGAUUUGUUGUUUGGGGGGGAUGCUUCAGAUGGUGCUCUCUGGGAUAUUUUUUGGAGACAGGAUGUCCCUAAGUUGCAGGAAUAUCUGAAGAAGAAUUUCAGAGAGUUUAGGCAUGUCCAUUGCUGUCGUUUAAAGCAGGGAUGAUUGACUUUUGGAUGUAUAGGUCUUUACGCCUUUAUCUUAUUCUGCAAUGACUCUGUGAGAGAGGAAGAAUAAAAGGGAAUGGAAGUUUGGAAAAUUUUAGACUAGAAGAAAGCCAACUUAGAGUUGAGCUUUUUAAGAACAAAUUCUAUCUCAAAAUCAAUUAUAAGAUGAACAAGAUUUUUAAAAUUUAAAUAACCAAAUGGUCUAGAUCUAAAAAUAAGCUCUAUUUCACCUAGAUAUCUAGCUUUGAUGGUUGCCACCUUAGAUUUUGGGAAAUUUAAUUCAUGUACCAUAGAAAAAAGAAGAAAAUUAUUCAUUUGCCAGGUUAUUUCUAGUUGUUAUGUUUAUCUGUUGUAUUUGUCUGAAGUUUGUCCUUGUUAUGUUUGUCUCUUGUAUUAUCAGUUGGAUCAUGCCAAUGAAUUAUCAAACUCCCUGAAAGAAAGUGCCAAUAUUAACACUGUUUGGGCAUCGCUUAUUGUUGAAGAAUGCACAAGACUUGGUUUGAUGUAUUUGUGUAUUGCUCCUGGAUCUAGACCUUCCCCUGUUGCUGUUGCUGUUGCAAGUCACAAAUUAAUCACAUGUAUUUCAUGCUUCGAUGAGCGUUCACUUGCAUAUCAUGCUGUUGGAUAUGGAAGAGGAUCUCACAUUCCAGCAGUAGCCAUUACAUCAUCAGGCACUGCAGUUUCCAACCUUCUUCCUGCUGGACUGCAACCUAAUCUACUAACUACUACUGAACUCUAAUGCAGGUCAAGUCUGAUCUGGCUAAAAAUAUCCAAUCAUUAGAACCAAACUCUAAAUGUUAUGUCUUGUAAUGAGUGAUUCUCUUACACUCUGAAGUAUAACAAUUUUACCUUAUAAGGGUUCAAUUCAAUCAAAGUAAAAUGGAAAGCGUUUCCUUAUUUAUCAAAUAUGCUUAUGUUUUGUAAUGUUCUUCUACUAAUAUGUGGCGAGCUUAAUCCAAAGUGAUCUUUCUUUUGGAACUAUCCAGUUGAAUAGCAGCAUAUUUUCAGCCUUGAACUUUAUAUUUUAUUUGUGACUGUUCUUCUUUAAGAGUGGUUUAUGAAUGUGGUAUUGAUAUUUGAUGCACGAUAACUGGCCUUCUGUCAGGUAAAGGUUCAACUUCUUAUUGCCAUUACUUUAAUAACAUUAAAUACUAAUUCUUUAGCCGCUCCCAGAUUGAGUUAGAUGAGCUGGAAAGUGUUUCCAUUCUGUCCAUGACCCUUGCAUGGGAUGAAUUUUCCUUCUCUACUUUUCAAGAAGCCCAUUAUUCGCUUCAAGAUUCUCUAGACCAGGUGCCUGACAUGCCUUUUUGAUAUCUUUUCUGUUUUGUUGUUUUAUUUACCAUCAUUCCCUGCUUCUAUCAUUUUUCAUGUAAUUUGGAAUAUUUAAAGUUAAAUGGUCAAUUCUUUUUUGUAUCAGUUUUUACACCUUUGUGAAUGAAAAAAGGGAAUCUUUCAUUAUGGUUUGGUUGGGCCUUUCUCUUUGUUUCCUAUAAUCUAGAGGAUCCUUAUCUUCUUCUUGGGUUCUGAAAGAAUAAAAACAUCUACUCCCUCCUGUAUUUAUGCUUGAUGUUAUUUCCUACGGUGUGGGUUAUGUGUCAUGUCUGGUCUACGAUUGACACAUGGAAAUCCAAAUGCACUAGAGCUGCCCUCAAAAAACCCAAUUUGGUAGAAGAUAGAUCUAUUCCAAGGGUACAAGCUCAUUUCUUUCCUAAGAAUAUGUAAGUUUUACUUGCAACUAGUUGUUACUUCCCUGAAUGCCAAUAUUUGUUUGACAUGUUUCUUUAGUUGAUAUUUGUCUUUUGCAUUUUCUUUUCCUUGGGUCUGGUUAAAUGUUAAUGCUCAAAAGGCUAUUUUCGUUAUUGUUGUAUUUUUUUGUAUUAUAUGCUAAUAUUUUAAGAUUUAAAUACAAUGCAGUGCAAACUAUAUUUGGGCCAAGCCCAUAUACUUAUAUAGUCUAAUUCUAACUCAAUCCAUAAUAACUCUUUAACAUUGUUCCCAAAUCCCAAGUUUGAGCAUAAAUAUUAAUCAUGCCUAGCUUGUUACAAAUGAAAUAACAGUGUUUUCCGGUCACAACCUUUGGCUAACAAUUUAUGGGUAAGCUUGUCUCCCUAAGGCAGGACCAUCAACCAUCUAGCAAUUCUUCAUUCCAGAGUCCAAAGAAGGUCAACUUGGUUGCUGCUCUGGUUCGUGGUAUGCUUGUUAAAGAUGCAUCGAUGCAGUUGGAAUCGACAAUAAAACGAGCAGCAAAAACUGUAUAUCAGGGAAUUCUGAUCUCAAAUUGUCCACGGCUAUGCAGCGAAAUUCUUGACAAGUUGAACCACCCUUUUCUACCUGCAUUAUCUAUAUGCUUCCUUCCAGACCAAAACUCACGUUUGGUUUGAUUACUAAUUAUUGUCCUAGAGGAGAACUAUUCCUGCUUCUUGAUCGGCAACCAACUAAGGUUCUCAAGGAAGAUGCCGUGAGGGGAAUUGAUGAUGUGGUGGUGAGAAUGAUGUAUGGGGAGUAGAACUACCAAGAGGAUUGUUGUUGUUGAAGAUGACAAGGGAGCUGAAAGAGGAAUGCCGAGCUUCAAUUCUGAGUUACCCAAUUUCAAUUCAUGGGUUGAGGAUGUUACAAGAGUUUGGGAUCCUUGCUGACCAGUGACUAGGGUUGAGGAUUUUACCAAGAGUCGAAGACCGUUGCUGCUAGAAUGUCAAGGUAAAGAGAAACGUUGUUAAUUAGUAUCCUUUUAAGGUAAAAAAAAAGGAAGAUUUUACGUAUAAGCGGAGCUUCACAAAGGAAAGGUAUGUCGCCCAUUUUAGGAAACUGCACCUGCUAUAAAUGCCAGAGUCAUACUAAAGCAUACAUCAAUCACCUAUUUAAUGUUCAUGAAAUGCUGGCACGGAUUCUGCUAGAGAUCCAUAAUACACACCACUAUUUGGCGUUCUUUCUUGUAAUAAGAGAAGCAAUAAAGGAUGGAAGGUUUGAGAAAUUUCGACAGACGUUCAUCCAGAGCAGGCGUGCCCAUCACGAAGGGGAAGCUGUUUGUGCUUGUGGUCAUAUAAGUUUAGGUGUAUACAUUGGGUUUUACCUAAGAUUUCUAUGAAACAUGAACUACGUAUUGUACAAAAAGGCGUCAAUUUUAGUAGUGUAAACUGAUUCGUUUGGCUGUCAAUAGAUACAAUUUAUUUGAUUGCAGAGUGUGUUCUCUUGACUAUUACUCUUGUAACUAAAGAUGCUAACAUUACUCAUCAUACGGAGAAAAAGUGUCAUGGUUGUUGAGGUCGUUGAAAAAUUAUUAAGUAUGGAAGGUUGAGUAAAUAUUUUCGAUUGUAAAUGAUGUGAAGCAUGAGGUAGUAUGAAGAUGCUCGAGAAUAAAUUUUUGAUUCAUUA